GUGCCUGCCUCAGCAGCACAUAUACUAAAAUUGGAACAAUACAGAGAAAAUUAGCAUGGCCCCUGCACAAGGAUAACAUGCAAAUUUGUGAAGCAUUGCAUAUUUCU
ensembl:snRNA U6 U6 spliceosomal RNA